UACGUAGGCAGCGAGCGUUGUUCGGAAUUACUGGGCGUAAAGAGUGUGUAGGCGGUGCUCUAAGUUCGGUGUGAAAUCUCCUGCUUAACUGGGAGGGUGCGCCGAAAACUGGAGUGCUCGAGCGUGGGAGAGGAAAGCGGAAUUCCUGGUGUAGCGGUGGAAAUGCGUAGAUAUCAGGAGGAAUACCGAUGCGAAGGCAGGUCUCUGGGCUGACACUGACGCUCAUGCACGAAAGCGUGGGGAGCAAACAGG
rnacentral:rRNA from 1 species